rnacentral:rRNA from 1 species
GACGAACGCUGGCGGCGUGCCUAAUACAUGCAAGUCGAACGAACUCUGGUAUUGAUUGGUGCUUGCAUCAUGAUUUACAUUUGAGUGAGUGGCGAACUGGUGAGUAACACGUGGGAAACCUGCCCAGAAGCGGGGGAUAACACCUGGAAACAGAUGCUAAUACCGCAUAACAACUUGGACCGCAUGGUCCGAGUUUGAAAGAUGGCUUCGGCUAUCACUUUUGGAUGGUCCCGCGGCGUAUUAGCUAGAUGGUGGGGUAACGGCUCACCAUGGCAAUGAUACGUAGUCGACCUGAGAGGGUAAUCGGCCACAUUGGGACUGAGACACGGCCCAAACUCCUACGGGAGGCAGCAGUAGGGAAUCUUCCACAAUGGACGAAAGUCUGAUGGAGCAACGCCGCGUGAGUGAAGAAGGGUUUCGGCUCGUAAAACUCUGUUGUUAAAGAAGAACAUAUCUGAGAGUAACUGUUCAGGUACUGACGGUAUUUAACCAGAAAGCCACGGCUAACUACGUGCCAGCAGCCGCGGUAAUACGUAGGUGGCAAGCGUUGUCCGGAUUUAUUGGGCGUAAAGCGAGCGCAGGCGGUUUUUAAGUCUGAUGUGAAAGCCUUCGGCUCAACCGAAGAAGUGCAUCGGAAACUGGGAAACUUGAGUGCAGAAGAGGACAGUGGAACUCCAUGUGUAGCGGUGAAAUGCGUAGAUAUAUGGAAGAACACCAGUGGCGAAGGCGGCUGUCUGGUCUGUAACUGACGCUGAGGCUCGAAAGUAUGGGUAGCAAACAGGAUUAGAUACCCUGGUAGUCCAUACCGUAAACGAUGAAUGCUAAGUGUUGGAGGGUUUCCGCCCUUCAGUGCUGCAGCUAACGCAUUAAGCAUUCCGCCUGGGGAGUACGGCCGCAAGGCUGAAAUUCAAAGGAAUUGACGGGGGCCCGCACAAGCGGUGGAGCAUGUGGUUUAAUUCGAAGCUACGCGAAGAACCUUACCAGGUCUUGACAUACUAUGCAAAUCUAAGAGAUUAGACGUUCCCUUCGGGGACAUGGAUACAGGUGGUGCAUGGUUGUCGUCAGCUCGUGUCGUGAGAUGUUGGGUUAAGUCCCGCAACGAGCGCAACCCUUAUUAUCAGUUGCCAGCAUUAAGUUGGGCACUCUGGUGAGACUGCCGGUGACAAACCGGAGGAAGGUGGGGAUGACGUCAAAUCAUCAUGCCCCUUAUGACCUGGGCUACACACGUGCUACAAUGGAUGGUACAACGAGUUGCGAACUCGCGAGAGUAAGCUAAUCUCUUAAAGCCAUUCUCAGUUCGGAUUGUAGGCUGCAACUCGCCUACAUGAAGUCGGAAUCGCUAGUAAUCGCGGAUCAGCAUGCCGCGGUGAAUACGUUCCCGGGCCUUGUACACACCGCCCGUCACACCAUGAGAGUUUGUAACACCCAAAGUCGGUGGGGUAACCUUUUAGGAACCAGCCGCCUAAGGUGGGACAGAUGAUUAGGGUG